GACGAACGCUGGCGGCGUGCCUAAUACAUGCAAGUCGAGCGGACUUGACAGAGCUUGCUCUGUUCAAGUUAGCGGCGGACGGGUGAGUAACACGUGGGUAACCUGCCUGUAAGACUGGGAUAACUCCGGGAAACCGGGGCUAAUACCGGAUAUUCUUUUUCUUCGCAUGAAGAAGAAUGGAAAGGCGGCUUUUAGCUGUCACUUACAGAUGGACCCGCGGCGCAUUAGCUAGUUGGUGAGGUAACGGCUCACCAAGGCGACGAUGCGUAGCCGACCUGAGAGGGUGAUCGGCCACACUGGGACUGAGACACGGCCCAGACUCCUACGGGUGGCAG
rnacentral:rRNA from 1 species